GAUGAACGCUGGCGGCGUGCCUAAUACAUGCAAGUCGAACGAAACUUCUUUAUCACCGAGUGCUUGCACUCACCGAUAAAGAGCUGAGUGGCGAACGGGUGAGUAACACGUGGGCAACCUGCCCAAAAGAGGGGGAUAACACUUGGAAACAGGUGCUAAUACCGCAUAACCAUAGUUACCGCAUGGUAACUAUGUAAAAGGUGGCUAUACUACCGCUUUUGGAUGGGCCCGCGGCGCAUUAGCUAGUUGGUAGGGUAAAGGCUUACCAAGGCAAUGAUGCGUAGCCGAAUUGAGAGGUUGAUCGGCCACAUUGGGACUGAGACACGGCCCAAACUCCUACGGGAGGCAGCAGUAGGGAAUCUUCCACAAUGGGCGAAAGCCUGAUGGAGCAACGCCGCGUGGGUGAAGAAGGUCUUCGGAUCGUAAAACCCUGUUGUUAGAGAAGAAAGUGCGUGAGAGUAACUGUUCACGUUUCGACGGUAUCUAACCAGAAAGCCACGGCUAACUACGUG
rnacentral:rRNA from 1 species